ACAACCACGAUGUUGGAGAGGGAAGCAGCUACCUCAAAAGAAGGGAAUGAACGGUUGAGACCAGACAAUAUAAUAAGUGGCCACUCUCUGGUAGAGAAAGACUUUGGAGAAAACCACUCAGACUGCCUCCUCUCCCUCUUACUCUCCAGGGAGGAGAGAAGAAUGAUCAUCAAGGGCAGAAGGCAGUUACAUCGAAGCAACACUGAAAACUGGCUUCAUGCUCAGGAGAGAAUGCUGCGCUUUUUCCUCGUGAUUUGUGGUGCUCUACAUAUUCAGAGAAACUUCUCCAGUAACAAACUAUAGAAAUGAUCCCUCAAAGUAUAGUCUUCAAGAUUCUUAAUCACAUCUGAAAAGAGCCUUUGUCAUGCCAGACCCUUGCUGACAUCGAUAGGAGUGACACCCUGUUUGACAGGCUGAAGAAGAGACCUAGAGCCGGUGAAUGAAAUACAGGGUUUAUUGAAGGAACCCAGUGUCAAUGGGCUGGAUAAAAGAACAGCUACCACUUGUAAAAAACAUGCAGUUUAGGCCGGGUGUGGUGGUUCACGCCUGUAAUCCCAGCACUUUGGGAGGCUGAGGCGGGCAGAUCCUGAGGUCAGGAGAUUGAGACCAUCCUGGCUAAUACUGUGAAACCCCGUCUCUACUACAAAUACAAAAAAUUAGCUGAGCGUGGUGGCACAUGCCUGUAGUCCCAGCUACUUGGGAGGCUGAGGCAGGAGAAUCACUUGAACCUGGGAGGCGGAGGUUGCAGUGAGCCAAGAUCGUGCCACUGCACUCCAGCCUGGUGACAGAGUGAGACUCCAUCCCCAAAAAAAGAAAAAAAAAAAGAAAAUGCAGUUUAUGUGGCAUUUUCACUUAGCACCUUUCUCAUAUCAGCCUACACCUCACAACCUUCAUUUAACCCAAAACAAAGGGUUUUGAUCCCCUGUAUGGCUCAUGUUCCAUGGGAUGGGAUGGGGAUUGAGAUGUUCCUCGUAGAUAAGGAAUGAAUCUCCGGGUUGGCCACUUCCGGAUUCCUUAGCUUUGGACUCCACACACACAUUCUUUUUAGACCACAGGGUCAAUCUAAGGGUAUCAAGUUAAGUUAUUGCUGUCAGGUGUGUUUGCCAUACAGAGUCAUUCUCAGAAUAUAUGCUUAAGUUAUUGCUGAAAGGUACAUCUGUCAUAUGCCCAUUUUCCAUAUAACAUAACAUUUACAGGUUUCAGAAAUUAGAAACCAAUAUUUUAGGGAGAUUAUUUUUAGCCUACUCCUGUAUACCAUCCUAAAAAUAAGAAAUCCACACUAAAUUUGCCAAGACUAUUGAUUUGCCUUUGUAUCUAUUGGAAACACACACUUGAAUCCAUUGAUUAAAACAGCACCACAAAGUAAA